UCCCUGGUGGCUCAGAGGUUAUAAAGUGUCUGCCUCAAAUGCAGGAGACCCGGGUUCGAUCCCUGGGUCGGGAA
rnacentral:tRNA from 1 species